rnacentral:piRNA from 1 species
UCCACUUGUUAGAAAUUGGAGCCUCA